rnacentral:rRNA from 1 species
GACGAACGCUGGCGGCGUGCUUAACACAUGCAAGUCGAGCGGUAAGGCCCUUUCGGGGGUACACGAGCGGCGAACGGGUGAGUAACACGUGGGUGACCUGCCCUCAGCUCUGGGAUAAGCCUGGGAAACUGGGUCUAAUACUGGAUAUGACUCCACGGUGCAUGUCGUGGGGUGGAAAGCCUUGUGCGGCUGAGGAUGGGCCCGCGGCCUAUCAGCUUGUUGGUGGGGUGANGGCCUACCAAGGCGACGACGGGUAGCCGGCCUGAGAGGGCGACCGGCCACACUGGGACUGAGACACGGCCCAGACUCCCACGGGAGGCAGCAGUGGGGAAUCUUGCGCAAUGGGCGAAAGCCUGACGCAGCGACGCCGCGUGAGGGAUGACGGCCU